rnacentral:ncRNA from 1 species
GGCACGGGGGUUGCGAUCCCCCCGCGAGGCGACAUGCCAAAGUAUCGCGUCCUGAUUUCACAAAGGGCGCCCGCAUG